CAAGGAAACUGCAACAAUAUUAAACAAAAAAGUCAGAUAUAUGUUCUGUCUGUUAUCGUCCACUGCAUUAAACGCGACUGCAAUUUCACGAUCGUUUUCUCGACCGGAAAACAGACAAACGGUAUUUUAAUUAAUACACUUUCUCAUUCGGGAAGUGUAACAAAGUUUUAUGCCAACAUAGGCUUUAUUCCAAGAUUUAUGUCUCACAACUGGAAAUGCUCUAAUCCUCUAUGCUUAAUUGGUUACUUCACCAAGCAAACGAUUUGGAUAGACAAAGAAUUCGGCAAAUACUGGGUCUCUUAAAAAACACUUAAAACUGAGUGAAAAAAAAAAAAAAAUAAAAAAAAAAAAUUGCCGAGAUAGAGCUUUGUUUGUCGCGUUACCAACGCUCCUAUUGAGAAGUUGUAACAUAGAAGCUUUGUGGGGAAGCUGCUGGUUAAUUGUCUUGGCCCCAUUCAGGUUUCCUGUAUUGCAGGUUUUUCCUGGCCUCCCUGACUAUCCAGCUGUAGUAUAAGCGAUGGUAAUUCUCAAACAUGUACAAGCUUACUAUCAUCUGGCAAAAGCUGUUCUCUAUAUGAAUACAGCUGUUGUAGGAGUGGGAUUGUUCGUCUAUGGGGAAUACACUCAAGUGUCAGAUACACUUUAUUGUAUUUGUGGGGUUGAAGUGCUCCCAAAGGUCACCUUCAUGCCCAUAGACUCAUUCAAUGUAAAUAUAAUCGGCCGAGUUAUAGGAACUGUCCAAGGGACCCUUACCCCUUGGUUCAGGUUAAUA